GCGCCCGUAGCUCAAUUGGAUAGAGCGCCAGUCUUCGGAACUGGAGGUUUUGCAGGUUCAAGCCCUGCCGGGCGCG
rnacentral:tRNA from 1 species